rnacentral:tRNA from 1 species
GAGAGUAUAGCUUAGUGGUAAAGCACUUGCUUAGCAUGCACAAGGUCCUGGGUUCACUCCCCAGUUCCUCCA